GAUGAACGCUGGCGGCGUGCCUAAUACAUGCAAGUCGAGCGAACAGACGAGGAGCUUUCUCCUCUGACGUUAGCGGCGGACGGGUGAGUAACACGUGGAUAACCUACCUAUAAGACUUGGAUAACUUCGGGAAACCGGAUCUAAUACCGGAUAAUAUAUUGAACCGCAUGGUUCAAUAGUGAAAGACGGUUUUGCUGUCACUUAUAGAUGGAUCCGCGCCGCAUUAGCUAGUUGGUAAGGUAACGGCUUACCAAGGCAACGAUGCGUAGCCGACCUGAGAGGGUGAUCGGCCCAACUGGAACUGAGACACGGUCCAGACUCCUACGGGAGGCAGCAGUAGGGAAUCUUCCGCAAUGGGCGAAAGCCUGACGGAGCAACGCCGCGUGAGUGAUGAAGGUCUUCGGAUCGUAAAACUCUGUUAUUAGGGAAGAACAAAUGUGUAAGUAACUAUGCACGUCUUGACGGUACCUAAUCAGAAAGCCACGGCUAACUACGUG
rnacentral:rRNA from 1 species